rnacentral:lncRNA from 1 species
CAUUCGCGUGGUCUCAAACCCCGACGUCAAACCGUUGGUCGUAAAACCCAGCAUCACCUAAUCCUAAGGUCGAAGUGUUGCUCUUCGCACCCCACGCCUCGACGCGUACAGUGGUCGGAGCCUCGCUACUCCUUCGACCUCCACAACACGCCGCACCGCUUUCAAUUUGCUUAUAGGCUUUAUUUGCUAUCUUUUCGUAUCCGUACGUUAGACCAUACAACAAGUUUUAUCAGCAUCCAAGGAGCUAACGUGGACCCAGAUGGCUACGCUGAAGCCGCGGGAAGUCUUAAGGCGCAAGGCAAGACAUAA